CAGCACCUCAAGUGGUCAGGAUGAUUAUUGGGCCUAAAGCAUCCGUAGCCGGCUCUGUAAGUUUUCGGUUAAAUCUGUACGCUCAACGUACAGGCUGCCGGGAAUACUGCAGCGCUAGGGAGUGGGAGAGGUAGACGGUACUCGGUAGGAAGGGGUAAAAUCCUUUGAUCUAUUGAUGACCACCUGUGGCGAAGGCGGUCUACCAGAACACGUCCGACGGUGAGGGAUGAAAGCUGGGGGAGCAAACCGGAUUAGAUACCCAAGUAGUCC
rnacentral:rRNA from 1 species